ACUUCGCUUUAUGGUCCUUGCGAUUACUUCUUCAUUUCUCUCUUCCUCUUCCAGACAAAUUUCAUUAAGAGCAGGAUUUGGGGGUUGCCUAAAGGUCCACUAUGUGUUAUAGCACACACAGGACAACUAGGUGGGGGUGGUGGCAUCUCAUCCCUUAUUUCACCCUUUCUUCCUAUAUAACUGGCUGAGAGCCAGGCUGUGUGGAGGAAGCAAGAGCAAAUAGGAACUUAGGGGGUCAAAUGUAGUAAUUCUCAAGUAAUUCUCUCUUGUAUGGGCUCUGGACCCUUGGAGAUUCUGAUGAAUGAUCUAGCCUCUCUCCCCUCAAAAUGCACAUGUUCCCUUUCAAUCAAAGUUUUGAAUGAAAUUGCAGGGAUUCUCAAACUCCCCAAACAGCAUUCUCAAAUACUGUCGUGGCCCAAGGAUCCAUGGUUAAGUAGUGGUGUGAGGGUUACAGAUGAGCAAACAAUGGGUGGUGACUAUAAUGUCAUCAGAUGUGGAGAGGAAGAAAGAUAGGGCAGGGGCUGGAAAGGUGUCUCAGUGCUGCUGGGAGGAAACCAGGGAGGACAGGUCCUCGGGGCAAGCUUGGGGUGAUGUUGGCGAAUACAGCCUGUGAAGACCAUCAUGAGUAAAACCCUGGGAGCAAAUGCAAAGAGACCCCAGGAACCAAAAUAUCAAGUGUCCCAAGCAAAUGCCCAUUGCUGAGAAGGUUUCCAGGGGAGUCAAGCAAAAGCCUGUCACAGACCCGCCUUUUCCAGGAGUGAUGGGCCUGACACAUGAAGAGCCAAGAGGAGUUUAUAGCAGAGGAUGUCUCUGGUAUCUGAAUCCACUUUGAGAAUGAGCUAGAUGCUUUGGAAAGGAGAUGGAUGAGCCUGAGUCACCUAAUUGGAAAGAAUCCAGAGGGCUGUUCUGAGGAUCAAAUGACGUAAUACACAGGAAGAUGCUUUAGCUGAACACUUAACACAUACCAUGCUGAGUGUUGGGCGCUCUACUGGUGUUAUAUCUCUUAUUCCUCAUAAUAAUCCUGCAAAGUAGGACUCAUUACCCUGUGUUACAGCUGAGGACACAGAAGACAGAGGGGCCACACAACUCACCCAAGGUCACCCAGCUAGUAAGAGGUGGAGCUGACAUUCCAGCUCAGAUGUACCCGGUGCUGAAGACAAUGUUCUUUCUAUUAGACCAUGAUUACUACUAUUGUUUUUGUUGAUUGUAUGCCUCUUGUAAGACCCAUCUUGGGAGCAUAUUCUUAGUGUAGGGCACAUGGUGGUGCUUGCAUCAUGACAAAGUACCUGGUUGUACCCAACUUCCCUUAUUCUCAACCCCAUGAACCACAUUCCAACUAAAUUAAUCAGAUUUCUGUAGUGCUAUCUCCCAAGGAGGUCUCAAUUCCUAAUAUCAAGGUCCUGGGGGAACAUAGAACCAGAAAUGAAGCCCCCACUGAGGUUGAUGAGAAGAGGAGGACUAUUUCCAGGCCCUCUGAUGGCAUAGAUGAGGUGAGACAGCAUCCCCCAGGACAUCCACCCUGGGGAUAACUGAUGUGAAGCUCAGUGCCUGCAGCUUAGGGGGCAAAAAAGGGAGCCCACAAUGCAAGCCUGAACAACCUUCCUUGACU